GACGAACCGUGCGAACGUUGUUCGGAAUCACUGGGCUUAAAGGGCGCGUAGGCGGACCACCCAGUCCGGGGUGAAAUCUUUCGGCUCAACCGGAAAAGGGCCUUGGAUACUGGUGGUCUGGAGGAAGGUAGGGGCAUGCGGAACUUCCGGUGGAGCGGUGAAAUGCGUUGAUAUCGGAAGGAACGCCGGUGGCGAAAGCGGCGUGCUGGACCUUUUCUGACGCUGAUGCGCGAAAGCCAGGGGAGCGAACGGG
rnacentral:rRNA from 1 species